GAGAUAAAAUAACACAUACAGUAUUUUCAAGCUUCAUUAUUUCUCACUCAUUAUAUAUUGUGGAAUUUCUUAGUUUUGCCUCUCCUUCAGUUUAUUGUCCCGUAUUUUUUGGGAGAAGCUUUUUAUUUGCAUGAUGUUCUGUAAUUUAUUUUUUAACUUGGUGAGCAGGCAGUCCCAUGAGGAAAAAAAUUUAUGGUGAAUAGCAGAGCUUUAGAAUAUUAACAUCCAAUUGAACUCAUUAUUUUUAAUUUUAUGCUGUACAAAUAUUCUUAAUGUACUUGAUGUUGCACUAAGGUCAUAAUCUGACUUACAUAUAGUAUUAGGUUUAAACAGUACACAUUGAACUCAAUUUAAUAAUUUUACUCAGGAAAUGUUUGUGUGGUUGCCAUUUACGAUACUUGAUUGUUUAAUAUAUCUAGCUGUUAGUAUAAAUGUUGUUAAAAGAAGUUUUCUAAUAUUUAAUCAUUCAUAAAGUAAUACAUACUGGGUAGAAUAAUAUUUAUAUAUAAACAUAUAAACAUUGUUCAUGUCUAUGUCUUCUAAAACAACAAUAGCAGUGGCAACCUAUGAAGUAAUUGCUCAUAAUGAUAUUAUAAAUUUCUGCAAAAUUACAAAAUAACAUUCAGAAAAAAGCGAUUGGCUAAUGUCAUCUACCUAGGGAAAUUGGACUACAGCCAAACUUCAAAGUACGAAAGUCCAGUUAGCCAUUCUGAAUCCCUGGUUGUACAAUAACAUUUAUGCUGCUUUAUUUGUGAUAAUUUAUUCAACACUAUUUAUCCUUUGUUUGGGAAGAGGUAAUUUAUUAUGCUAUGUUCUUGUCUAAGUGCAGUUCAGAUUCAUUGAAAAGAUGUUUGUACUGAUGUCAUCUUUAUAACAAUGAAAAGCUGAGGAUAAAAAUCAUUAGAUAUAGUUUUGUCUUUAAAAUCCAGAUAUUUACUCUCAUGUAAAACAAAAUUUAGGAUAAUAGAGCUGUUGGAAGCAUUAAAUGAAAUGUUGCAUUCCUAAUUUGCCUUUCGCAUUUGUUUUUCUCCCUAUUCCCCCCAAAAAACUAAUUCUU
rnacentral:lncRNA from 1 species